ensembl:lncRNA
CGGGGCAAAGACGGGCAAAGAACCCUGCAGCGGCCCCGGGGCAAAGACGGGCAAAGAACCCUGCAGCGGCCCCGGGGCAAAGACGGGCAAAGAACCCUAUAUUGAUCCCUGUCCAAAGAUUGACGACGAACCCUGCAGCGACCCCGGGGCAAAGUCCGGCAAAGAACCCUGCAGCGACCCCGGGGCAAAGGCGGGUAAAGAACCCUGCAGCGACCCCGGGGCAAAGGCGGGUAAAGAACCCUGCAGCGACCCCGGGGCAAAGGCGGGUAAAGAACCCUGCAGCGACCCCGGGGCAGAGUCCGGUAAAGAACCCUGCAGCGACCCCGGGGCAGAGUCCGGUAAAGAACCCUGCAGCGACCCCGGGGCAGAGUCCGGUAAAGAACCCUGCAGCGACCCCGGGGCAGAGUCCGGUAAAGAACCCUGCAGCGACCCCGGGGCAGAGUCCGGCAAAGAACCCUGCAGCGACCCCGGGGAAAAGACGGGUAAAGAACCCUGCAGCGACCCCGGGGCAAAGAAUGAGACUCCACAACCCAGCAAUCCUAUAUACACUCCACUGAUUGAUUUUCUGAGGAGCAAGAACCGACAGGCAGUCGAGUCACAUUUUUAAAGAGGAAUGGUUUGCAUCCGAGCAAGCGGUGCAAGGGUGUUUUCCGUCCGUGUCCUCAUCAUUGGCUUGACCGUAUUGACUUCACUCUGCUUGAUGCCACCUCUGUUCUCUUGUAGGUACUGAUGUUUUCCCCUUAAUAUUGCAGUAAUGUCUGCUAAUUAUCGUCCCACUAGUUUUCAGUCUGCUUUAGGGCAUUAUGGUAAAAAAACCGGAAAAUCUAUCUACCAAGUGUCCAGCAACUCUGUUGCAUCUCCUUCCAUUCCCAGGUCUUAAAGCACUCAUAGAGUGUCAUUGUGAUGGGCUGCCGCUCUUCUACCUGUGCCAGGUGUGUAAGUGUAAAGUCCUGCAGAACUCGAUUAUCUCCCAUGUCACUGGAGACAAUCACCGACAAUUAUCCCUGGUAGGUAACCAGCAACCACCACAUACCAAAUGUUUUCAAGUACAGAUCCACAUGUGAAGUGACUGGUAACUUAAUGGGGGCUGUCAGGAAUCGUGUGUGUGUGUGUGUGUGUGUGUGUGUGUGUGUGUGUGUGUGUGUGUGUGUGUGUGUGUGUGUGUGUGUGUGUGUGUGUGUGUGUGUGUGUGUGUGUGUGUGUGUGUGUGUGUGUGUGUGUGGUCUUACUGAACGAAUGGAGACCAAAUGUCCCAGUGAGUAUCGUACAACCAGAAAAUAUUUACCUCAUUGGGACCUUUUGCCGGUCCCCGUGAGGCAAAAGUCAAUUUCCGGUUUAGGGUCAAACUUUUUUUUUCUAAUUAUAAAAUCAACAAUUGAUUUUAUAAUUAGAAUUGGGGUUUCUUUAAGGUCCAGGCUUGUUGGUUAAGUUUAGGUUUAAGGUUAGGCAUUACAUCUAGGUAAAAUUUAGGCAUAAAUGUUACUUUAUUGAGGUUAAGGUUAGGGUUAGGUUUAGGGUUAAGUUUGGGGCAAGGGAGCAUGCAAUUUCUAUUUUCUGGUCCCCAUGAGGUUAGCUGUACAAACUUGUGUGCGUGUGUGUCUAAGUAACGUGUGUGUCUAUCUACAUAACGUGUGUCCAACAGUGGCCUAUGAAUACUAUUCCCAAACGCCACAGGAGGUUGAGGGCAGCUGCCUUAAAGCUGGAGAAGACCUUGGGAUAUGGAGAAUUUAAGGUAGCAGUGUUGAAUGCGCGAACAUAUCAUUCUAUUUCUACUAAUUCCAUUCCCUUCGACAUGAAGGUAAAGAUGGUCUUGUGUGAUCACUAUUCAAGUGACCCCCGAUAUUUCGUCAUGCCUCUAGCUAAGAAGCCUAAGCCCAAGCUGAAGAAAAACAGUAAUGUCAAAACUCUGGCCCUAGACUGCAAUGACGUGUGUUCUCCCGCAGCACCCGCUGGGAGAUUCCCUGCUCUGUGGCGCUACCUGCAGCAGUCCAACAGACAGCCUGUCAUUGGUGUUGGUAUGUUGACAGAGUUGACCGAACGAGAUGGUGACUACGUCCUGUGUGGAUGCUGUUCUCACAAGAUGUUUCCAUCCUCUGUCACCUCACACGUCAUCUCUUCCAGACACCGCUACUACUACAUAAGAAUGGCACAUCCUGAGCUGGCUGUUAAUUGGCCAGAAAGUCCAGCGCUGAUUGUGUAUAAUGGGCCUCUUCAAAGAGAGCUGAGAGUGCAAGCUAAAGAACUGGAGGGUCAGGAAGGACCUGAACAUCCCCAGGUGGUGAAAGAAACAUCUGCUACAUCGGGAGGUGGACCCACAACCUGCCCAGAAGAGGUUGUCGAACAGAUCCAGAUUCACUCCGCUCCUGUCUCUGUGGAAGAGGAACCGGUUAACUCAGAGCCAUCACAGCCCCUCGGAGAAAAGAAAAAGACGAGGAAUAGGGGCAAUCCUGUGGUUGGAGUGAACUUCCUGGUCCGGGUGUCUCACAGAAAUAGGAAACAAUACUACUGUCAGCUGUGCUCCGUUAGGGUGAAGCAUCCCGUUAUUGAUCACAUGACCAGCCUCCGCCAUCGACACAGCUAUGUGAAAUUGAAGUACCCCAGUUGGACCUCCGACUCAGAGGCAAAGCUGUUCAAGAUGGCUUUUCACCUGGAGAAGGUGGAUCGAAGCGCUGGACUGGGCAUGCAGAAAGUAGAAGUGGAUGCUGUUGAAUUCAAGGAUCUAAGGUCUUGCCCUGUGGAGGAAGCUCUCAGUAAACUGCAGGCCAUUAUCAUACAGCAACAAGAGCCAGGUGAUCUGAAGAUGCAUCCCUCAACCAAUCAGAACCCAGAAGAUCUGAGACAGACUGCUCCCUCAUUGAGACCUGUCAGUGCCCAAGGGCCAUCUAACGGAGACCAGGAACACCUACAAGUACCUGCCUCCUCUCUCCAGGAUCAGCCGUCCUUUGGCUCCACAUCUGUCCCCCUCUCAUCCUCCAGUCCUCCUUGCCUCUCUCCCUCAAACUCCUUCUCUGCCUCUCUCCCCGCAGUGUCCCUAUCUGCCUCAACCUCCCUUUCUUCCUUUGUUCCAUCCUACACUCCCGUUUUGUCCACUGAGAAGACGACUGACCCCUCAUCAGAUGUUGUCUCUGUCCCCGAUCCUGUCUGUGAUCCUGUCUCUGUCCCUUCACCCCUCUCCGCUCUAAAGAACCCAACACAUCUGAAGGACUGCGAGAGUCCAGAGUGGUGGGAGAGGAGGAGCCCAGAAAACAGAGAGACACUAAUGCUUCUGGAACUCCCAGACAAACAGACGGAGUACGCGGCGGGAGACCGGCUGACGGAGUACGCGGCGGGAGACCGGCUGACGGAGUACGCGGCGGGAGACCGGCUGACGGAGUACGCGGCGG